rnacentral:rRNA from 1 species
GGCGAGUGAAAUGGGAACAGCCCAGCCUUAGAAUCGAAUGGUUUUGCCGUUUGAAUUGUAGUCUGGAGAAGCGUCCUUAGCGGCGGACUGGGCCCAAGUCCCCUGGAAAGGGGCGCCGGAGAGGGUGAGAGCCCCGUCGGGCCUAGACCCUGUCGCACCACGAGGUGCUGUCUUAGAGUCGGGUUGUUUGGGAAUGCAGCCCAAAUUUGGUGGUGAAUUCCGUCCAAGGCUAAAUACAGGUGAGAGCCCGAUAGCGAACAAGUACCGCGAGGGAAAGAUGAAAAGAACUUUGAAAAAAGAGCCAAAGAGUGCUUGAAAUUGUCGAGAGGGAAGCGGAUGGAGACCGGCGAUAGGCCCAGGUUGGAUGUGGAACGGUGGUUAGCCGGUCUGCUGAUAGGCUCUGGGUGUGGAUCAGCGAGAAUUCAGGUGGCGGUUGAAGCUUGGGCAUUUGAUAUGCUAGGGGAAUGCCGUCUCUUGUAUUGUGGGAAGUAGUGCGCGCCCCGCGUGUGCUUCGGCACCUGCGUACUCAGGUCGUUGACUUGUGGGCUCUCCAUUCGACCCGUCUUGAAACACGGACCAAGGAGUCUGACAUGUGUGCGAGUUGGCGAGUGGAAAAACUCGCAAGGCGUAAGGAAGCUGAUUGGCGGGAUCCCUCUUCGGGGUGCACCGUCGACCGACCUCGAUCUUUUGAGAAGGGUUUGAGUGUGAGCAUACCUGUUGGGACCCGAAAGAUGGUGAACUAUGCCUGAGCGGGGUGAAGC